AGUGACCUUGAUAAGGGCAUUUUGGUAAUUUACAUGAAAAAUUGGAUAAACUUUAGAUAUAAAUAUCUAAGUUCCAGCAACUUCCAGCAGCUUUUUCUUCCAUCCAUCUCUUCUGUCCAUUUCACAUUUUCUUCACCCUCCAUGGGAAGAAAACCUUGAAUCCUCCAUAAAUCUCUCAUAGAAAGUCCAUGUUUCAUGCUUUUGCCCACUCCUUCAUAGGGUUUUUCAUGCUCUUCCAUUUUUACACCUCAACAGCCUUCAAAAGUCUUUCUAUAGUACGUUCACUCACUAGCUG
rnacentral:lncRNA from 1 species